rnacentral:rRNA from 1 species
GAUGAACGCUAGCGGCAGGCCUAACACAUGCAAGUCGAGGGGUAGUUACUUUCGGGUAAUGAGACCGGCGCACGGGUGCGUAACGCGUAUGCAAUCUACCUUUUACAGGGGAAUAGCCCAGAGAAAUUUGGAUUAAUGCCCCAUAGUAUGUAUGAAUCGCAUGGUUUAUACAUUAAAGUUCCAACGGUAAAAGAUGAGCAUGCGUCCCAUUAGUUAGUUGGUAAGGUAACGGCUUACCAAGACGAUGAUGGGUAGGGGUCCUGAGAGGGAGAUCCCCCCACACUGGUACUGAGACACGGACCAGACUCCUACGGGAGGCAGCAGUGAGGAAUAUUGGACAAUGGGCGCAAGCCUGAUCCAGCCAUGCCGCGUGCGGGAAGAAGGCCUUCGGGUUGUAAACCGACUUUUGUCUAGGGAAGAAAGUCCUUUGAGCUAAUACCUCGGAGGGAUGACGGUACCUGAAGAAUAAGCACGGCUAACUACGUGCCAGCAGCCGCGGUAAAGUACAGUGU